GAUGAACGCUGGCGGCGUGCCUAAUACAUGCAAGUCGAGCGAACGGACGAGAAGCUUGCUUCUCUGAUGUUAGCGGCGGACGGGUGAGUAACACGUAGAUAACCUACCUAUAAGACUGGGAUAACUUCGGGAAACCGUAGCUAAUACCGGAUAAUAUUUUGAACCGCAUGGUUCAAAAGUGAAAGACGGUCUUGCUGUCACUUAUAGAUGGAUCCGCGCUGCAUUAGCUAGUUGGUAAGGUAACGGCUUACCAAGGCAACGAUGCAUAGCCGACCUGAGAGGGGGAUCGGCCACACUGGAACUGAGACACGGUCCAGACUCCUACGGGAGGCAGCAGUAGGGAAUCUUCCGCAAUGGGCGAAAGCCUGACGGAGCAACGCCGCGUGAGUGAUGAAGGUCUUCGGAUCGUAAAACUCUGUUAUUAGGGAAGAACAUAUGUGUAAGUAACUGUGCACAUCUUGACGGUACCUAAUCAGAAAGCCACGGCUAACUACGUG
rnacentral:rRNA from 1 species